AAUCGACUCUGCAGCGACAAUAUUAUGAUGUCGCGUUUCACUGCCGGAAGAAAAAAAAAAAACCACGCAAUUUCCGUCGAAAAACAACCACAAACAGCUCGAAUAACUUACAUUCAAAACAAAAUAACCAAAUCGAGUGGGAAUUACGUAUCGGACAAUAAAACGCGCAGGUCGAUAGACCUCCUAACCCGCAUGAUGUUUUCUAUAACGACGUGUUUCCCCUCUCCCCCCUCCGCCUAGUCGAGUUAAAAGCUAUCGAAAAACGUAACGUGUGACUUUUUAACUUUUUGAGGCACGGUUACCC